rfam:Populus trichocarpa isolate Nisqually-1 chromosome 19, whole genome shotgun sequence.
UCUAGAGCUCGAGAUAUGAGCUGAACACUAAAAAAAUCAGUGCAUCUUGACAGAUUUUUGUUACUAAGAUUUGGACUUCCAAACAACAGAAUUGAGUCUUACAUUCCCAUAAAUGUUUUAGGCCCAUGUCUUAGCUUUCUAGC